GAUGAACGCUGGCGGCGUGCCUAAUACAUGCAAGUCGAGCGAACAGACGAGGAGCUUGCUCCUCUGACGUUAGCGGCAGACGGGUGAGUAACACGUGGAUAACCUACCUAUAAGACUGGGAUAACUUCGGGAAACCGGAGCUAAUACCGGAUAAUAUAUUGAACCGCAUGGUUCAAUAGUGAAAGACGGUUUUGCUGUCACUUAUAGAUGGAUCCGCGCCGCAUUAGCUAGUUGGUAAGGUAACGGCUUACCAAGGCAACGAUGCGUAGCCGACCUGAGAGGGUGAUCGGCCACACUGGAACUGAGACACGGUCCAGACUCCUACGGGAGGCAGCAGUAGGGAAUCUUCCGCAAAGGGCGAAAGCUUGACGGAGCAACGCCGCGUGAGUGAUGAAGGUCUUCGGAUCGUAAAACUCUGUUAUUAGGGAAGAACAAAUGUGUAAGUAACUAUGCACGUCUUGACGGUACCUAAUCAGAAAGCCACGGCUAACUACGUG
rnacentral:rRNA from 1 species